GGGGCUGACCGGUUUUGACAGCAUAGGUCUUUGAAAGUGUAAGCAUGUCGUGCGUUGGAUAAUUAGCACGUAAAUCUGAAUACCCAAACUUUAAUUGGCGAAUCUAACUACGCCAUGGCUGCCUAAUUGAAUUAGGUACCCAUUAUAGCCGCCUGAGUUGUGACCCACUACGACUCUCGCCGCCGAAUCAAACCAUAGCGGGAUAGGUACACAUGGUUUCUGUGAGUGUGUAAUGAAAAUCAAAACGGAUAAGGACGAGGUUGGUUUGUUCCGCCCCUGCUGAGUCCCGACACAACAAUGCGGAAAUAAACAUGUAGAAAGCUUUUGGAGGAUAUGUUUGGACGCGGGUUCGACUCCCGCCAGCUCCACCU
rnacentral:tmRNA from 1 species